rnacentral:rRNA from 1 species
CACGUAGGGCGCAAGCGUUGUCCGGAAUUACUGGGCGUAAAGCGUGCGUAGGCGGCUAUGUAAGACAGAUGUGAAAUCCCUGGGCUUAACCUAGGAACUGCAUUUGUGACUGCAUUGCUUGAGUGUGGUAGAGGGAGAUGGAAUUCCGCAUGUAGCAGUGAAAUGCGUAGAUAUGCGGAGGAACACCAAUGGCGAAGGCAAUCUCCUGGACCUGCACUGACGCUCAUGCACGAAAGCGUGGGGAGCAAACAGG